rnacentral:rRNA from 1 species
AUUGAACGCUGGCGGCAUGCUUUACACAUACAAGUCGAACGGCAGCACGGGCUUCGGCCUGGUGGCGAGUGGCGAACGGGUGAGUAAUAUAUCGGAACGUACCCAAGAGUGGGGGAUAACGUAGCGAAAGUUACGCUAAUACCGCAUACGAUCUAAGGAUGAAAGCGGGGGAUCGCAAGACCUCGUGCUCCUGGAGCGGCCGAUAUCUGAUUAGCUAGUUGGUGAGGUAAAGGCUCACCAAGGCGACGAUCAGUAGCUGGUCUGAGAGGACGACCAGCCACACUGGAACUGAGACACGGUCCAGACUCCUACGGGAGGCAGCAGUGGGGAAUUUUGGACAAUGGGCGCAAGCCUGAUCCAGCAAUGCCGCGUGAGUGAAGAAGGCCUUCGGGUUGUAAAGCUCUUUUGUCAGGGAAGAAACGGUAGGGGCUAAUAUCCCUUGCUAAUGACGGUACCUGAAGAAUAAGCACCGGCUAACUACGUGCCAGCCGCCGCCGUAACAC